rnacentral:rRNA from 1 species
UAGUCAUAUGCUUGUCUCAAAGAUUACCCCUUGAAAGUCUAAGUAUAAGUUCUGUACGGCGAAACUGUGAAUGGCUCAUUAAAACAGUUAUCAUUUCCUAGCCGGCCCUUUGUUCCAUGGAUAUCCAUGGUAAUUCUAGAGCUAAUACAUGCUUGCAAACCCCAUCAACUUCGGUUGGUCUGCUCUUCUGGGGCAGUGGGGUUGCGCUUAUUAAAUACAAAACCAACCCAGGCUUGUCCUGGUUUGUGUGGAUUCAUAGUAUUUCAGCGAAUCGACCAUUAUGUCGAUGAGGCUAUCAAGUUUCUGACCUAUCAGCUUCCGACGGUAGGGUAUUGGCCUACCGUGUUUUUGACGGGUAACGGAAAAUUGGGGUUCGAUUCCGGAAAGGGAGCCUGAAAAACGGCUACCACAUCUAAGGAAGGCAGCAGGCGCGUAAAUUACCCAAUCCUGACACAGGGAGGUAGUGACAAGAAAUAUCAAUAUAGGACAUUUGUGUCUUGUAAUUGGGAUGAGCGAAACAUAAAUCGCUUCUCGAGUAUCAAUU